rnacentral:other from 1 species
GAGCGCCUUAGAUGUGCGUAUGCCUUAGCAAUGUCUAACCUACAGAUCUUUCAGGGAAUCCGAAUUGAUUUCGGUGAACGCGAUGCACCUCGGUGAACGCCGCAGCCGGACUUAGGGUACCCACCUGCUCUACGCAGGUAUAGACAUAUAAGUCAUACGGCAUUUCAGACACCUC